rnacentral:rRNA from 1 species
UACCGCGGCCCUACCACCCAGAACGCACCCGAUCUCGUCUGAUCUCGGGAGCUAUGCAGGGUUGGGCCUCGUUGGUACUUGGAUGGGACACAGAUACUGUUACUGCCUGAC